rnacentral:tRNA from 1 species
GGCUCUGUAGCACAAUUGGAUAGUGCACCAGCCUUCUAGGAGGACCUUCGGUCCGUCAGUGUAAGCUGGAGGUUGCGGGUUCGACCCCCGCCAGAGUCA